rnacentral:rRNA from 1 species
UACAGAGGGUGCAAGCGUUGUUCGGAAUUAUUGGGCGUAAAGCGCGUGUAGGCGGCUUUGUAAGUCUGUCGUGAAAGCCCCGGGCUUAACCUGGGAAUUGCGAUGGAGACUGCAAGGCUUGAAUCUGGCAGAGGGGGGUAGAAUUCCACGUGUAGCAGUGAAAUGCGUAGAGAUGUGGAGGAACACCGAUGGCGAAGGCAGCCCCCUGGGUCAAGAUUGACGCUCAUGCACGAAAGCGUGGGGAGCAAACAGG